GCGGCCGCGGCGGGCAGGACCGGCGGGGGGCGGCAGGCUGCCGAGGCGACGGAGACCCGAUCCCGGGUGGCCAGGCCUUGCCCUGACCACAGGCUCAGCAUGGAGAGCACCCUCCGACUACCGGGUGCUGGACAGCGCCAGGCCAGUUGCCUCUGCUGACCCACACAGAACUGCAUGAACUCAUGAAGGAAAUCAACUCUGCUGACUGAACUCACUAUACUGACUCUCUGCUAACUGAAGAAACGCCACUGCAUUGAACACGAGUGACUAAACACAGCUCACGGAUUCUCCCUGGGCUGCUCUCUAAUAGCUUUUGUUUCCUUCCCACCCCAACCCCCUGUGUUGUUCUCCUGAGAGUUAAGCAUAUCCUAACUCUGACUCAUUCUGUCAAAUCUUUCUGAUUUGUCACUUUGCCUAUUAAUUAGACGUCACUUUCAAACAUGGCUGCUUAUAUCUAUAAACUAAACUUAUUUACAUUGUUUAGGAUUAGGUGUCUGCUAAAGGUAUGUUUCUAUUCCAGACAAAGUAGCCAUGUUACUGUAUUAAAAUUUCUUUAUAGUCAUUUCUAAUUCCACUUUCAGUGGAUCUAACGCCUUCUGACCUCCAUGAGGACCAUAUGUGCAAAUGCCACUUAUACUUACACUGUAGAAAUCGUUUAUAUGCAUAAAAUAAAAAGAAGUACUUUUUUAAAAAAAUCCAUAA
rnacentral:lncRNA from 1 species